rnacentral:tRNA from 1 species
GGGGCCGUAGCUCAGCCGGCAGAGCGUCGCGUUCGCAAUGCGAAGGUCAGGGGUUCGACUCCCCUCGGCUCCACCA